GGAACCGAGUCAAGGCCAAGAGGCGACUCGCUUGAGAUACAGAGACUAGAAGAGCAGCAGACUGAGCUGCUAAGGAUUGAGGAUCUUCCUACUUUGAAGCUAUCGGGUAUAAUUUAUACCCUAAUUGUAAAUAUUUCUUUUGAUGUAUGUAUUGCAUAUAAAUGUAUGGACAUGUAAAUGGGUCUUGAGCAGCUUAUACAAAAAUUUGUAUGAAGUUUGUAAUAAAGUUUAGUUUGUGUUUCUUUUGAUAUAAAUUUGUAAGGAUGUGUAUAAAUUGUUUUGUCUUUAAUGAAAUAUGAGUGGAACUAUUUUAUUUAAA